rnacentral:tRNA from 1 species
GCGCUGGGCUCAACCGUUUCCCCGGCAAGAACGUUGGAAGGCCGGGAAACGGGCUUCGUUCGUAAUGCGGGGGUCACAGGUUCGAGUCCUGUAAGCGCACCA